UACGUAGGGUGCGAGCGUUGUCCGGAAUUAUUGGGCGUAAAGAGCUUGUAGGCGGUCUGUUGCGUCUGCUGUGAAAAUCCGGGGCUCAACCCCGGACUUGCAGUGGGUACGGGCAGACUAGAGUGUGGUAGGGGAGACUGGAAUUCCUGGUGUAGCGGUGAAAUGCGCAGAUAUCAGGAGGAACACCGAUGGCGAAGGCAGGUCUCUGGGCCACUACUGACGCUGAGGAGCGAAAGCAUGGGGAGCGAACAGG
rnacentral:rRNA from 1 species